CCGACCUCACUGACCUCAAGAGGCAUGGUUACACACCAUGGUGCUGUUCACCUGCGGGACUUGGCAGAGCUGCAUAGCCGUCGAGGAGCCCAUUCAGAGGGGAGGUCUUGAGCUGCGCAGGUUGGAUCUGCUGGACAAAAUAGAGGAAAUGAUCAGACUGAAUGGUUAUGAGGCCUUCUUGCCCAUACACCGAGUUUAUGUUUCAGCUGAUGUUCCUGCUGCAGAGAAACACAAGAAGCCCUCCUUUGGCUCCUGCUUGUCCGCUGCCUUCGCCAGGUGCUGCUGUGGAUGCUGUGGUAGCAAGAAGAAAAUCAGACAGUAGAGAAUCAUAUCAUCCACAAAGGGAUCCAAGGGGCUGCCCCCCCAGAAGGCGACCGGUAGCUUCACCCUGGCCUGUGAGGAAGCUGGAUAUUUUGGAGAUGAUUCUCAUCUCAGUAUCUCUGGGGAGGCACCAGAGUGUGGAGGUGUUGAUGAUGAUAUUGAUGGGGCCUGUAGCAGCGAGGCCUCUGAUGGGGACCUUCUCUGUGGAUCCUGUUUAGUGCUGGAGGACUUGAUCCUGGAGGUC